UUUUUGUUAUUCAUGUCUACUAGCAGGUAACUAAUGUUUCAAUUUCACUUUCGUAAUUUAAUCUCUGUAACUCUCCUCAUUUCGCUUGAUUAUUUCCCUUGAUAUACUUUGUUUUCUCCCCUGCCACUUGGUCUCGGUAGAAACUAGGACGGUAAAAUGUGUGUUGUAAAUUUUUUCGGAUGCUCCUUCAAAGCUGAAGAUACUUUACAUCCUAGUUCAAAGCUCCCGUCUCUCUCACGUAUCCUACAUUAUCUUCACUUGUCAAUGUUCACGGGUGACUAAUUGUAUGUUCUUAAUUAACUCAGUGUACGUGUAACAGCAACACACCACGUGACCGCUGACUUUCCCUCAACUCCUCCCCCUGGCCUAAUAGUAAGUUUAGACAAUGACAUCAGCACAACACGACACUGCUGUGUUGACACUCUGUGUUGUGACAUGCAAUAUGAUUGUUCUCACCCACACAAGGUCAACUGCCAAUAGCCUCAGCGUCCUGGCAUUGGAGCUGAACUUCACACUAAAUCUUAGAGACCUGACAUCAACCCGGAUACAGCUACAACGAUUUUAUUGAACGUGUCAACAGUUCUACUGCGAUCAACUACACUUGAUAUUAUAAUACAUUAUGAAAAUGAAACUCUACUAAUCAGUUUCUCGCACGGACAUACAAGAACACAAAAGUUGAAUAAGUGGGGAAAAUUGUCAUUAUAAAGCCUUAAUGACCUCUUUGACCUGUCUCAAGCCUGCAUAAAUGAUCGAGAGGUCUUUCUAUUCUGUCUCAAUUGAUGAAAGGUACUCUUUUCCAGGCAUCAGCGUGUCAUCCUAGUGGAAACGUCCUAAUGAGUGACAGGGUAACAGCAGGGCCGGCCUUUGGCAUAGGCAGACUAGGUAGCCACCUAGGACCUCUAAUUGGUGGGGGACCUUGCACAUGACUGUUUCUGUAUUUCAUUUAGAGAAGAAAUAAAGAAACGUGUCCUCAAUGUUAUUGUUGGAGAACACCAGGUUUCUAAUAAUUUGCAUACUUUAAUUUUUUAAUGUAUAUUUUCUAUAAUUCUAUAUCAUUUGGGGCCACCAAAUACAUUUCGCCUAGGGGCUCCAAUUAUCUAAGGCCGGCCCUGCGAACAGGAACCAUAGCCUAUUAAGGCCUUCCACAGUACAGUGUACAUUGUACGUGGUGUGGAAGAAAGAUGGCCUCAAGAGUCAAGUACGUUGUUGCGGCCUCUUAAUCAAGGGGAAGCAAGUAUGACUCAGCUUCAAGAAGUCAUGACCCCCACAAUAAACGUUUGAAUUAAACGAUUGUUUAACAGACUCUAGCUGAUUGAGGACCUUCAAACAGAAGAAUUGUUGAAUAGCGAGUCUCUCCUUCUCGGCACUGGGGACUGAACACAUCUGUCAAUCUCAAUUUAUUCAGUCUGGCUGUGGCCGAUUUAGGAAGUCUGUCUUCUUUGUUUUUAGAGAGUUUGAGUUUUAAGCCUGCACUGGAAAGAGCCGGGAUCGCAUAUUUGACGACAGAACUAUUUUAUGCUUCAUCUGUUACACUCAGAUUUCUAUUUGCCCGGAUCGCCUGGUGGAUAACGACUUUCAUAUCCUUUGAAAGAUGCCUGUGUGUGACUCUCCCGCUUCAUAUCAAGCAAGUAUUGACCACAAAAAGAACGAUUCUCGCGCAUGCUGUCAUUACUGCAAGCAUCAUCACUGCCGUCUCGCCAUUUUUGGUGGCCAGACCUCUCGGUUCGAAACUCAUACCUUCUAUAAACACGACUCUGAUUGGGCUAUUCUACACCGAGAACGGACCAUACAUCGAGAGGAUAGCUUUCUGCUUCAACGCCAUCUUACAGUUCACAUCCUAUAUCCUCAACAUUAUCUUCACCGCGGUUAUUAUUCUGCAGUUAAAUUUAAACUCCAGAUGGCGCCAGAACUUGUCCUCUUUGAAAGAUCGCUCAAAGCGAGACAAGAAACUGGCCAAGAUGGUGGGCUGCAUUUGUAGUAUUUUUAUUGUUUGCGCCAUGCCGAGCUGCGUGAAUUUUAUGAUGUCUGUAUUACAAGUUUCAGGAUUCAGUGGAUGGGACAGAUCAUUCCUAACUUUUCGUGAGAUUAUUAUGACCUUGGAAGCCAUUAACAGUACCAUAAACAUAAUAGUUUACUACAAUAUGAGUUCAAACUACAAGGAAGCAUUUUUUAGUAUUUUCUGUUUAAAAGAUAAACCUAGUUCUACCUAGUUAUAUAAUAAUUGUUUUUUACAAUGUGCCCAAAGUAGUUAUUAUUAUUGUACCUUUUCUAUUCAUUUUCGAAACUUUAAUGUCACGGAAUUUCGAAAAGCAAGGCUAUUGUAAUUGAUGCCACUUAAAAUCCUCCCAUGAUAGGGAACUUGGUAGGGAACUUGGUGAAGUUUUUAGCCUUUAGUUAAUAGUAGGCCUGACAUAUGAUUGAAGAAGAAGAAAAAAGAAUUGUUAUGCAGUUAUCGAAAAAUAAAUAGUUACAUUUAGGGCGAGGCGUAUCUCAGUGAAGUAUUAAACAAAGUAAAAAUG